AUACGUAUGGAGCAAGCGUUAUCCGGAUUUACUGGGUGUAAAGGGAGUGUAGGUGGCAUCACAAGUCAGAAGUGAAAGCCCGGGGCUCAACCCCGGGACUGCUUUUGAAACUGUGGAGCUGGAGUGCAGGAGAGGCAAGUGGAAUUCCUAGUGUAGCGGUGAAAUGCGUAGAUAUUAGGAGGAACACCAGUGGCGAAGGCGGCUUGCUGGACUGUAACUGACACUGAGGCUCGAAAGCGUGGGGAGC
rnacentral:rRNA from 1 species